GUGAUCUCUUCAGCAGCACAUAUACUAAAUUGGAAUGAUACAGAGAUUAGCAUGGUUCCGUACAAGGAUGAUACACAAAUUGUUGAAGUGUUCUACAUUUUU
rnacentral:snRNA from 1 species